UGAUACCCACAAUUAAGUUAGAUCAAUCAGGCUUGACAUAAGCAAAGCAGAUCAGCAAUUAGCUAGCAGCGGAUCGGUGAGUACUAUUUUUGGAGCAGCUGAUUCCGAUGAGACGAGGCUAAUAGCACAUGGAUCUGGAAAAGUAUCAUUGAUUCAUUGGAUGAUGAAGAAGGGUCCAAUUUCCAACCUCAAUCGUCUGUGUUAAAAGGGAUCUUUGCUAAUUAGUCAAGAUUUAUCGGGAUUUCAUGGCCCGGCUUACAUGUAGCAAACAGUCGAAGAUGCUUAAGAUUCAAGAUUAGGCACUGUCAAAUAUACCUCUGUCAACUCAGUAGUUUCUUCUAUGUGCUUGUGAACUCCACACCUAUCAGGCUAUGUUCUUUUGUAAUAUAUACUUUGAUAUUUAAAUGCAUUCAGAGAACAGUAUUAUUCAGAAAGCGAUAUGUGUGUUGACCAAAACCAAAUGUAAUAUUCGACACUGAGCUCUGUUCUCAGGCAUCUUAUUUUUU
rnacentral:lncRNA from 1 species